rnacentral:rRNA from 1 species
CCCUUAGAUGUUCUGGGCCGCACGCGCGUUACAAUGAAUCGUUCAACAGGUUUUUUCCUGAGCCGAAAGGUUUGGGUAAUCCUUUAAAUACGGUUCGUGCUAGGGAUAGAUUUUUGCAAUUAUUAAUCUUGAACGAGGAAUAUUUAGUAAACGCAGGUCAUCAGCCUGCAUUGAUUACGUCCCUGCCCUUUGUACACACCGCCCGUCGCACCAACCGAUUGGAUGUUUUGUUGAAAUAUGUGGAUGUAUAUUGUGUGAAUUUAUUUUUGUGCGAUAAAUAGAAACGUAUUAAAACUGGUCAUCUAGAGGAUGGUGAAGUCGUAACA